UGACUAAGCUGUGGCCAGUAAGAUAUAAAUGAAUGUGCCGAGUAGGACUUUCUUGAAACAUUUUUCUUGAAAAGAGCAGGCUACGGAGCCCCAGCAGCUGUUUUGGACUAUGAGGUGUCCUUGGAAACAAAAUCCAGGUAUGCACUGACAAUGUCAGUCGGCGAGCACCGCCUCCUUGCUUGUGCUACCGAGCAGCAGCAAAGGAUGGUUACAGGAAAGCAAACAUCCACAUUGCUUAGUUGUCACUUUGCAGUUCUCUGCUGCCUGUGACUAAAGCUCAAUUUCAACUACCCAAGGGAUCUGCUCCUGUUGCCUUCUAACCCAAGGGGACUCCAUGCCAGAUUCUGGCCUCUACGCUGCAGUGCACUACCAGAUGGCUCAGUGAAGUCAAGAUACUGCUGCCACACUGACAACCUUUGGACUGGAUGGGAGAAGGAAAGAACUGACCCUCUCAAUUUGUCCUCUGAACUCCACAUACAAACUACAUGUAGGAAUAUGCACACAUGCAAAAUAAGUAAAUAAAUGUAAUAGCAAAACAGACUGAAUAGGUCAGUAUUCUUUGAGGUGAAUUUGGAAACUUAUUUUGGCUGCGUAAUUAUGUAAGAACAACCAGACCAGAAUCGAAGGCUGUUUGUACCUCAGUAACAUUAAAAUGUAAACGAUUUACAUCACAAACAGGAAGCCGCCGACAUAUUUUCUUUAGAAGUUACACAAAGUUCCUUGGCCAUCAGUCACACCAAUGACUCAAACCCACAUGUCAUGAAAUAGUGGAUAAUUCAAGCCAGUAAACAUCUAUAUCCUUUGGUGUCUGGCUAGACUGCACUAUAACCCUUGAGGGAAAAGCAUUAACUUACAAUGUGCAGAGGUAUUUUUUAUAAUGAAAAGUAAAUUUUUACAAAUUAAAGUUCUGAAUGAAAUAACUGAUGGCAAUAUAAUCAGAAUGGGCUCCACUAUAAUUACAACUCGUCAGAGAAAGCUCAGAAUAUAACUAACUGCCGUGUAGGUGCUGAUGGGACACUGGGAGGUUUGUCUUUGUUCAUUUGCUUGUUUGUUUGUUUGUUUUUGCUAGUAACAUUGCCAGUGUGUCUUGUAUUCUAGACUGUGGCUGCUUUUCCCCCA